AUCAACCGUAAAAACAAGGAGUUAUUCAGCAUUCUGUUUUCAUCAUCUCAGAGUGGUCACCAACCCUGCAAUUUUUUUCUCCAAAUCUAACUGGUUGAGACUUCAAGAAAAGCUGCAUAAUCACCCUGGCAGGCUGGCACCCCCACGAGCGAGCAACGCAAGUGUUGACCAGUUGCGGACAGAUGUUUACCUCUGCAAAUAUCCAACAGCAGACCCCUCUGACAUAAAAACUACAGACAGGAUGACAUCAAACAUCUUCCAUGGCCUCCCCCAAGCACCGGAUGUGGACAUCACUGAACCUUUGAUGAGGAGUUCUGGAGUGCAAAGUAGACUUCCACUUCCUUCAUCCUUGAAAGAACUGAAGGCUGUUCUUCUUGAAGAGGAAUGUCCCACUACACACAGUUCAGGACUUGUAUGACAGCAUUUCAAGAAGCAUUGUAACUGUUCUGAAGGUUUCUGUUAUUUUUUCCACCCCCUGUGUAUCUUUAUUGUUUCUAAGUUUCACAUUAUUGAAUUGAGUCAAGUAACAUACAAAGACCACCGAGUGAAAGCCAAAGUACAACGUUUUUUAGGAAAGAGCCUAUGGGAUCUGCAUCAUCACACAUAUACAAAUAAUGAAAAACUGUCACAGGCGAGUAUAUCAACUGUCUAAUCAUUCUACUUACAUCAUUAUUACUUGUGUUACCUGGAGGCCAGUAGACAGUCUAUGCCACUGAAAGCCAG
ensembl:lncRNA